rnacentral:rRNA from 1 species
GCCCUUUCGGGGGUACACGAGCGGCGAACGGGUGAGUAACACGUGGGUGACCUGCCCUCCACUCUGGGAUAAGCCCGGGAAACUGGGUCUAAUACCGGAUAGGACACAUGGAUGCAUGUCUGUGUGUGGAAAGUUUUUUCGGUGGGGGAUGGGCCCGCGGCCUAUCAGCUUGUUGGUGGGGUGAUGGCCUACCAAGGCGGUGACGGGUAGCCGGCCUGAGAGGGCGACCGGCCACACUGGGACUGAGACACGGCCCAGACUCCUACGGGAGGCAGCAGUGGGGAAUAUUGCGCAAUGGGCGGAAGCCUGACGCAGCGACGCCGCGUGGGGGAUGACGGCCUUCGGGUUGUAAACCUCUUUCGCCAGGGACGAAGAGCGAUUGACGGUACCUGGAGAAGAAGCACCGGCCAACUACGUGCCAGCAGCCGCGGUAACACGUAGGGUGCGAGCGUUGUCCGGAAUUAUUGGGCGUAAAGAGCUCGUAGGCGGUGUGUCGCGUCGGCCGUGAAAACUUGGGGCUUAACUCUGAGCAUGCGGUCGAUACGGGCAUCACUUGAGUUCGGCAGGGGAGACUGGAAUUCCUGGUGUAGCGGUGAAAUGCGCAGAUAUCAGGAGGAACACCGGUGGCGAAGGCGGGUCUCUGGGCCGAUACUGACGCUGAGGAGCGAAAGCGUGGGGAGCGAACAGGAUUAGAUACCCUGGUAGUCCACGCCGUAAACGUUGGGCGCUAGGUGUGGGGACCAUUCCACGGUUUCUGUGCCGCAGCU